GACCACACCGGCCAGUGUGGGGAAGGGCAGGAACCCCUGCUGCUUUUUAAGCCCCUGCGGGCGUUUGUGAUGCAAUAGGGAGUUAGAAAAGUACUCAAUAGUGAGUGUCGUUAUUCGGUUUGUCAAAAAUUAAAGGUGGGGAGGACAAAAAUCAGGAGAGAUUGAUUGCAUCUACUUUUCUACGGAAAUGUCUAACUCCGCUUCCAAAAAAAGCCGUAAUUAUUUUUGUGCUUCAAAUAUACGUUUAUGUUUAUAUCUUUCAACAUAAUUUUGUAAAACAAAUGUUAAGUUUUACUGAAUGUUGUCACUGAACAAACUUGUGAUGAGCAGGUAUUUUAGAGUCUUGGGGUCUUAAAAGAAAAUCAUAGGACUCAGACUGCCCCAGAGUUAUGCAAUCUAAGAGUAUAUUAACCACUUUUAAGUAUUAUAUGUUUUUCUCUUUUUUGAGCUUUUGUCGAUUUGACACGUUCAUUUCAUUUGAAUGUUGGUUCUGAAAAUGAAGCAUGUAGUUACUUUUCCGUUAACAUACAUAACAGCAUUUUAAAGUACCUAAAUUCCUUUUGGAAGGCCGAGGCGGACGGAUCACCUGAGGUCAGAAGUUCCAGACCAGCCUGACCAACAUGGUGAAACCCGUUUCUACUAAAAAUACAAAACCUAGCCCCGGGCGUGGUGGCACGCGCCUGUAAUCCCAGCUACUCAAGAGCCUGAUGCAGGAGAAUCGCUUGAAACCGGGAGGCGGAGGUUGCAGUGAGCUGAGAUCGCGCCACUGCACUCAGCCUGGGCCAAAGAGUGAGACUCCGUAUCAAAAAAUAAUAAUAAAGUACCUGGCCGGGCGCGGUGGCUCACGCUUGUUAUCCCAGCACUUUGGGAGGCCGAGACGGGCAGAUCACGAGGUCAGGAGAUCGAGACCAUGGUGAAUGGCGUGAACCCGGGAGGCGGAGCUUGCAGUGAGCUAAGAUCGCGCCACUGCACUCCAGCCUGGGCGACAGAGCGAGACUCCGUCUCAAAAAUAAAUAAAUAAAGUACCUACAUUCCUAAAAGCAGUGCUUAAUUCUGCAGCACAUAUACUAAAAUUAGAAUAAUAUAAAGAUUAGCAUGGCCCCUUCCCAAGGAUAACACGCAAAUUCGUGAAGCGUUCCGUAUUUUUAAAUAUAUACACCUACUAUGUAACCAAAAAAAUUAAAAAUAAACAUAUAAAUUCCUGAAAGCUAUGCCAGUCCAAUCCAGAUAAUUCUUUUAAUUUUUAAUUUUUAUUUUUUGUGAGUACAUGGUAUAUAUAUUUAUGGGGUACAUGAGAUUUUGAUACAGGCAUACAAUAAGUAAUAAUCACAUCAGGGUACAUGGAGUAUCCAUCACCUCAAAUAUUUAUCCUUUCUUUGUGCUACAAACAAUCUAAUUAUACUUAGUUAUUUUAAAAUGUUCAAUGAAUUAUCGUUGACUAGUCACUCUCGUGCUGUCAAAUACUAGAUCUAAUUCUGUCUAUACUUUUGUACCUAUUAACCAUCCCCACUCUGCCCCUUAAUUCCCCACUACCCUGCCCAGCCUUGUAACCAUCAUUCUAUUCUCUGUUAGUUCCGUUGUUUUAAUUUUUAGCUCCCACAAAUAAGUGAGAACAUGCAGAGUUUGUCAUUCUGUACCUGGCCUAUUUCACUUAAAGUAGUGACAUCAGUUGCAUCCAUUUUGUUGAAAAUAACAGGAUCUCAUUCAUUUUUAUGGCUGAAUGCUACUACGUUGUGUACAUAAACCACAUUUUCUUUAUUUGUCUAUUGAUGGACACUUAGGUUGUUUCCAAAUCUUGGCUGUUGUGAACAGUGCUGCAAUAAACAUGGGAGUGCAAGUAUAUCUUAGGAUAUACUGAUUUCCUUUCUUUGGGGUAUAUACCUAUCAGUGGCAUUGCUGGAUCAUGUGGUAGCUCUAUUUUUAGCUUUUUGAGGAAUAUCCAAACUAUUCUCCGUAGUGGCUGUACUAAUUUACAUUCCCACCAACAGUGUACAAGGGUUCUCUUUUCUCCACAUCCUCAUCAGCAUUUGUUAUUGCCUGUCUUUUGGAUAUAGGCCAUUUUAAUUAUGAUGAAAUGAUAUCUCAUUGUAGUUUUGAUUUGCAUUUCUCUGAUGAUGAGUGAUGUUGAGCACCUUUUCAUAUACUUAUUUGUCAUUUGUAUGCCUUCUUUUGGUAAAUGUCUAUUCACAUCUUUUGCCCAUUUUAAAUUUUUUUUUUUUUUGAGAGAUAGGUUCUUGCUCUGUCAUCCAGGCUGGAAUGCAGUGGUUUGAUCUAGCUCACUGAAGCUUCGAACUCCUGGGCUCAAGUAAUCCCCCCACUUCAGCCUCCUGAG
rnacentral:lncRNA from 1 species